GCAACUCGACCACACGAAGCUGGAAUCGCUAGUAAUCGCGAAUCAGCAUGUCGCGGUGAAUACGUUCCCGGGUCUUGUACACACCGCCCGUCACACCAUGGGAGUCAGCAACGCCCGAAGUCAGUGACCUAACCGAAAGGAAGGAGCUGCCGAAGGCGGGGCAGGUAACUGGGGUGAAGUCGUAACAAGGUACC
rnacentral:rRNA from 1 species